rnacentral:precursor_RNA from 14 species
CCACCCCCUGCUGUUGGGUGGGGGCCGGGGUGAGGUAGUAGGUUGUAUGGUUUAGAGUCACACCCCCGGAGAUAACUGUACAGCCUCCUAGCUUUCCCCGCGCCCCCCCAGUGCCUCCCAGUGCUUC